rnacentral:rRNA from 1 species
GAGGGAUAUUGGGCAAUGGGGGCAACCCUGACCCAGCGACGCCGCGUGAGGGAAGACGGUCUUCGGAUUGUAAACCUCUGUCUUUGGGGACGAAACAAGACGGUACCCAAGGAGGAAGCUCCGGCUAACUACGUGCCAGCAGCCGCGGUAAUACGUAGGGAGCAAGCGUUGUCCGGAAUUACUGGGUGUAAAGGGAGCGUAGGCGGGGAGACAAGUUGGAUGUGAAAACUCUAGGCUCAACCUGGAGAUUGCAUUCAAAACUGUUUUUCUUGAGUGAAGUAGAGGCAAGCGGAAUUCCUAGUGUAGCGGUGAAAUGCGUAGAUAUUAGGAGGAACACCAGUGGCGAAGGCGGCUUGCUGGGCUUUUACUGACGCUGAGGCUCGAAAGUGUGGGGAGCAAAC